AUUUGGGCGGGAGUGUCUUGUUUUUCCAGGUACCGUCUGUCACGGCUUUCCUUGGCUAGGGAAGGGAAAUCCCCUGGCCUCUUGCGCUUCCUGGGUGAGGUGAUGCCCUGCCCUGCUUCAGCUCACCCUUCAUGGGCUGCACCUACUGUCCAACCAGUCCCAGUGAGAUGAACCAGGUUCCUCAGUUGGAAAUGCAGAAAUCACCCAUCUUCUGCGCCGAUCACACUGGGAGCUGCAGACUGGAGAUGUUCCUAUUUGGCCAUCUUGGAAUGGAAUCUCAGCUUCAUGUCUUUUUAAGGUGGAAGGGAACUGGACAGUGACAUAAGUGUGAAAUGUCUUACAGAAGAGUAUGGAGUGGAAAUGACCACCAUAUGUGACCUGAAGAAACAGAAGGAGAAACUGUUGAAGUUCUACGGUGAAAGUGAUGAACAGAAGUUAAUGAAAAAGUAGAAAAACACUGCAUAAAGCUGAAAUGAUGAUCUCAAUUGUGGAUUGAAAGUAUGCAUACAUCAGCAUUGCAAUGAACACAUGCCACUUAGUGGUAUACAGAUCAUGAAACAAGCAAAGAUUUAUUGUGACGAACUGAAAAUUAAAGGGAACUAGAAAUAUUCAACAGGCUGGUUGCAGAAAUUUAAUAAAAGACAUGACAUUGAAUUUUUAAAGAUUUGUGGUGAUAAAGCAUCUAUUGAUCAUGAAGCAGUGGAUAAAUUCAAUGACAAAUUUGCCAACGUCAUCACUGGUGAAAAUCUGAUGCCAGGCUCAUGGAUACUCUUCAUGAUCUGAAGGAACUAUUGAACCUCUUCCCAGAGAAAGGCACUCACAGGUAAAACUCUGCCUCUAAUCUCUGUAUUUAUGGACCCCUGGAAGCUUAUCUUCUCAUAUCUAAGGACCCAGAUGAAGAAUACUUGCUGUGUAGUUCCAGUUGCCAUGUGGUUCCAGAAGUCUUAGAAAUCGUGAUUAAAAUAAUACUAGAUCAAGGUUGUGUAAGAUAAUGCUCAAUACAUGUUAGAUGACAAUAGCAAAAUAAGUGUUAAGUAUUUCAAUUUUCCAAAAAUGAACCUAAACCUUCUCAUUUCCCUCUUUCUUUAAUCUCUCCACACUACAUGCCGUAUUCCAGCUAGGAAAAACAAAAAACAAACAAAUAAGAAACAAAAUAAAGCAAAACAUAUUCAUAAUCCCUCUGUCCAUAAAAUCCAAAUCUCUUUACUCUACAUCCUUAAGCUGGCUUUGUUUCUUACAUAUGAGACUUGGGGAUAGUAUUGUCUAGUAUAGUUUUUCCUGCAGUAUAUAGGGGAAAGGUCAUGGGCAAAUCAUGCUAUUUGAAACCAUGAUUUUGAAUCUAGGCUGUGUAAUUUGUGAAUUAUAUUACCUAAACUUUAGUAUCUUGAUUUCUGAAACUCAUUUUUUCAUCUAUAAAAAGGGUUAAUGACUCCUAUUUUGGAGACUAGCAAAUUGAGAUUAAUAAAUUUAGAUAUUGCAGGAAGAUUAAGUAGAGUGCACUGCAGACAGCAUGUCUUCCCCUAAAUCUUAAUCAAGGCCAGUGUCAGGCCUCUGAGCCCAAGCCAAGCCAUCACAUCCCCUGUGACUUGCACGUAUACGCCCAGAUGGCCUGAAGAAACUGAAGAAUCACAAAAGAAGUGAGUAUGCCCUGGCCCACCUUAAUUGAUGACAUUCCACCACAAAAGAAGUGUAAAUGGCCAGUCCUUGCCUUAAGUGAUGACAUUACCUUGUGAAAGUCCUUUUCCUGGCUCAUCCUGGCUCAAAAAGCACCCCCACUGAGCACCUUGCGACCCCUACUCCUGCCCGCGAGAGAACAAACCCCCUUUGACUGUAAUUUUCCUUUACCCACCCAAAUCCUAUAAAACAGCCCCACCCUUAUCUCCCUUUCGCUGACUCUCUUAUUUUCACCUGCCUGCACCCAGGUGAAAUAAAUAGCCAUGUUGCUCACACAAAGCCUGUUUGGUGGUCUCUUCACACAGACGUGCAUGAAAUUUGGCGCCGUGACUCGGAUUGGGGGAACUCCCCUGGGAGAUCAAUCCCCUGUCCUCUUGUUCUUUGCUCCAUGAGAAAGAUCCACCUACGACCUCAGGUCCUCAGACUGACCAGCCCAAGGAACAUCUCACCAAUUUUAAAUCAGGUAGGUGGCCUCUUCUUACUCUCUUCUCCAACCUCUCUCACUGUCCCUCAACCACUUUCUUCUUUCCACUCUUCAAUCUCUCCCUUCUCUUAAUUUCAAUUCCUUUCAUUUUCUGGGAGAGACAAAGGAGACACGUUUUAUCUGUGGACCCAAAACUCCGGCGCCAGUCACAGACUGGGAAGGCAGGCUUCCCUUGGUGUUUAAUCAUUGCAGGGAUGCCUCUCUGAUUAUUCACCCACGUUUCAAAGGUGUCAGACCACGCAGGGACGCCUGCCUUGGUCCUUCACGCUUAGCAGCAAGUCCCGCUUUUCUGGGGAAGAGGCAAGUACCCCAACCCCUUCUCUCCUUGUCUCUACCCCUUCUCUCCUUUCCUGGGGCAGGGGCAAGUACCCCUCAACCCCUUCUCCUUCACCCUUAGUGGCAAGUCCUGCUUUUCUGGGUGAGGGGCAAGUACCCCUCAACCCCUUCUCCUUCACCCUUAGUGGCAAGUCCCGCUUUUCUGGGGGAGGGGCAAGUACCCCUCAACCCCUUCUCUUUCACCCUUAGCGGCAAGUCCCGCUUUUCUAGGGGGCAAGAACCCCCAAUCCCUUAUUUCCGCACCCCAACCUCGUAUCUCUGUGCCCCAAUCCCUUAUUUCCAUGCCCUGACCCCUUAUUUCCAUGCCCCAACCCCUUAUUUCCAUGCCCUGACCUCUUAUCUCUGUGCCCUAACCCCUUUUCCCACUUUUCUGGAAGGGAAGAACCCCCAAACCCCUUCCCUCCAUUUCUCUACUCUCUUCUCUAGGCUUGCUUCCUUCACUAUAGGCAACCUUCCACCCUCCAUUCCUCCUUCUACUCCCUUGGCCUGUGUUCUCAAAAACUUAAAAUCUCUUCAACUCACAACUGACCUAAAACCUAAAUGCCUUAUUUUCUUCUGCAAUGCCACUUGACCCCAAUACAAACUCGACUGUAGUUCCAAAUAGCCAGAAAAUGGCACUUUGAAUUUUUCCAUCCUGCAAGAUCUAAAUAAUUCUUGUCCUAAAAUAGGCAAACAGUCUGAGGUGCCUGACGUCCAGGCAUUCUUUUACACAUCAGUCCCUUCCUUGUCUCUGUGCCCAGUGCAAAUCAUCCCAAAUCUUCCUUCUUUCCCUCCCGCCUGUCCCCUAAGUCCCAAACCCAAGCAUCGAUGAGUCUUUCUAAUCUUCCUUUUCUACAGACCCAUCUGACCUCUCCCCUCCUUGCCAGGCCUAGCUAGGUCCCAAUGCUUCCUCAGCCUCCGCUCCUCCACCCUAUAAUCUUUUUAUCGCCUCCCCUCCUCACACCUGGUCUGGCUUACAGUUUCGUUCUUGACUAGCCCUCCCCCACCUGCCCAGCAAUUUACUCUUAAAAAGGUGGCUGGAGCCAAAGGCAUAGUCAAGGUUAAUGCUCCUUUUUCUUUAUCCCAAAUCGGAUAGCGUUUAGGCUCUUUUUCAUCAAAUAUAAAAAUCCAGCCCAGUUCAUGACUUGUUUGGCAGCAACCCUGAGA
rnacentral:lncRNA from 1 species